AUGCAACUAAAUCAGUUCCAGCAACCAAAAUAUAGCCACACUGUGUGCAAAAAUGAUGUGCAACAAAAAGAUGUGCAAAAACAUGGUAAGUAUGUCAGCAUCCCAUGCAACAAACCAACAAACCCAGUCGCUAUUGUGGCAAUUGCAGCACCAACUGAGCCAGCUGCAGACACAAUUGUGCAACCACAACAACUAGGAGGAGGGAAAAGUGAGGAUCCAUUAAAUUUCUUCCUCUUUAACUUCCCCUUCACCUCCCCUCUAGACCUUGUUUACCCAUGGCUUUGUCAUCUUCAAAGAAAGCAUAGAUUCCUGUAG
rnacentral:rRNA from 1 species